rnacentral:lncRNA from 1 species
GCCCUUUUUCGCACUCUCUAUAUUUGUGUCGCUUUUACAUGUUGUUUAUUGAUAUCCAUGUUGUCAUUUGCUUCAUUUUCUAGGUGUGACGUAUGGCGGAAUUACAUCGAAAGGGCAGACCUCGAGGGACUUACACGGGAGCAAAUGUACAACGGCUACCGCCUCUGCUAGGACCACUUCGCCGAAAGUGCCUUCGCAAAUCCUGCCAAAACACGGCUCUUGUGGACGGCUGUUCCCACUGUUGCAGUGGAAGUGGGAUCCCCGAUCGAUGAAGGACCCUCCCUGGCAGAAGCCACGGCUGCUGCGGCUCAAGAACACCCUCGCCAAAAGAGCAUCGCCCAGAUUGCAGAUUCCAGCCAGACACCGG